UACGUAGGGUCCGAGCGUUGUCCGGAUUUAUUGGGCGUAAAGAGCUCGUAGGCGGUUCCGUAAGUCAGAUGUGAAAACUCAGGGCUCAACCCGGAGACGCCAUCUGAUACUGCGGUGACUGGAGUCUGGUAGGGGAACACGGAAUUCCUGGUGUAGCGGUGAAAUGCGCAGAUAUCAGGAGGAACACCGAUGGCGAAGGCAGUGUUCUGGGCCAGUACUGACGCUGAGGAGCGAAAGUGUGGGGAGCGAACAGG
rnacentral:rRNA from 1 species